rnacentral:rRNA from 1 species
GAUGAACGCUGGCGGCGUGCCUAACACAUGCAAGUCGAACGAACAGACCACAAGCUUCUUCCUUUCACGAUUGCGGCGGGCGGGUGAGUCACGCGUGUAUAACCCACUUCUAUCUCGGGGAGGAUUGCGAAAAACCGGCUAAUAUCGCAGAUGAUAUGUCUUACGGGUGGGGGCAGGAGAGUUUUUCCGUUUUGCGGUGAGCUAGAGACGGAUCCGCUGCGCAUUGGCUAGUUGGUAGGGUAACGGCUUACCGAGGCGACGAUGCGUAGCCGACGUGAGAGGGGGAUCAGCCACACUGGAGCUGAGACACGGUCCAGACACCUACGGGAGGCAGCAGUGGGGAAGGUUGGACAAUGGGCGGAAGCCUGACCGAGCGACGCCGCGUGGGUGAAGAAGGGCUUCGGGUCGUAAAACGCUUUUAUUGGGGAAGAACAAAUGCGUCAGGAACGAAGCAUGUUGUGACGGUACCUAAAGAAGAAGCACCGGCUAACUACGUG